rnacentral:tRNA from 1 species
GGAAGUGUGCCUGAAUUUUAAGGGUCACUAUGAUAAAGUGAACAUAGAGGUCUACCAAUCCUCUCGCUUCCU